UACGUGAGGGGCGAACGUUGUUCGGUGUCACUGGGCUUAAAGGGCGCGUAGGUGGCUGCGUAAGUAAAGUGUGAAAGCCCUCGGCUUACCCGGGGAAUUGCGCCUUAUACUGCGUGGCUUGAGGAUCUCAGGGGAAGGGGGAACUCCGAGUGUAGCGGUGAAAUGCGCAGAUAUUCGGGGGAAGGCCGGCGGCGAAGGCGCCCUUCUGGGAGAUUCCUGACACUGAGGCGCGAAAGCGUGGGGAGCAAACAGG
rnacentral:rRNA from 1 species